AUAAAGACAGUGAAGAGAAGAGUAGGUAUAAAAUGUAGUUAUAGCGAUUUGAGGACGGUGAAAGCUCAAUACGAAGUUUAUAUUGAAGAACAUCUCGGAGUCUCUAACCGAAAUUUAAUAGAGUAGGCUUAGACGGAAGGUCCCGUUAUAGACCAUAAGCAAUGCUUAGCUAAGAGGCCAUUUUUAUGGCAAUUAGGGUGGUACCGCGAUAGUAAUAGUCUUUCGUCCCUUUA
rnacentral:ncRNA from 1 species